rnacentral:lncRNA from 10 species
CACCAGCAACCUGCUGGGGUCCAGUUCCAGUCUGUGGGAGGUUUGUUCUUUCGCUCUUCUCAGUGACUCUUGCUGUUGCUCACUUUUUGGGGCUGCGCUAAUCUUUAUGAGCUGUAACACUCACUGCGAAGGUCUGCACUUCACUCCUGAAGACAGCGAGACCACGAAGGGAGACCACCGGGAGGGACGAACAACUCUGGAGUGCCAGCUUUAUGAACUGUAACCCUCACCGCGAAGGUCUGCAGCUUCACUCCUGAAGUCAGCGAGACCACAAACCCAGCAGUAGGAAGAAACUCCAGACACGUCUGAACAUCAGAAGGAACAAACUCUGGACACACCAUCUUUAAGAACUGUAACACUCACCACAAGUGUCCGCGGCUUCAUACUUGAAGUCAGUGAGACCAAGAACCCGCCAAUUCCGGACACAGUAGCUGGGAUUACAUGCGCCCGCCACCACACCCAGAUAUGCCCACCAGGAUUCCACCAAAGGAGAAGUACAAAUAGCUUUCCAGGCCUCCUCAGGGGAGUUCGCUAUAGUUGGCAUUGCACUUGAUCUGGAUAUUAAAACCAUUCAAAGAAGAUACAGAUAUUUUGAAUUUCAGCCCU